GGGACACGUGGUAUCCUGUCUGAAUAUGGGGGGACCAUCCUCCAAGGCUAAAUACUCCUGACUGACCGAUAGUGAACCAGUACCGUGAGGGAAAGGCGAAAAGAACCCCGGCGAGGGGAGUGAAAAAGAACCUGAAACCGUGUACGUACAAGCAGUGGGAGCCUCUUUUAUGGGGUGACUGCGUACCUUUUGUAUAAUGGGUCAGCGACUUAUAUUCUGUAGCAAGGUUAACCGAAUAGGGGAGCCGAAGGGAAACCGAGUCUUAACUGGGCGUUAAGUUGCAGGGUAUAGACCCGAAACCCGGUGAUCUAGCCAUGGGCAGGUUGAAGGUUGGGUAACACUAACUGGAGGACCGAACCGACUAAUGUUGAAAAAUUAGCGGAUGACUUGUGGCUGGGGGUGAAAGGCCAAUCAAACCGGGAGAUAGCUGGUUCUCCCCGAAAGCUAUUUAGGUAGCGCCUCGUGAAUUCAUCUCCGGGGGUAGAGCACUGUUUCGGCAAGGGGGUCAUCCCGACUUACCAACCCGAUGCAAACUGCGAAUACCGGAGAAUGUUAUCACGGGAGACACACGGCGGGUGCUAACGUCCGUCGUGAAGAGGGAAACAACCCAGACCGCCAGCUAAGGUCCCAAAGUCAUGGUUAAGUGGGAAACGAUGUGGGAAGGCCCAGACAGCCAGGAUGUUGGCUUAGAAGCAGCCAUCAUUUAAAGAAAGCGUAAUAGCUCACUGGUCGAGUCGGCCUGCGCGGAAGAUGUAACGGGGCUAAACCAUGCACCGAAGCUGCGGCAGCGACACUAUGUGUUGUUGGGUAGGGGAGCGUUCUGUAAGCCUGUGAAGGUGUGCUGUGAGGCAUGCUGGAGGUAUCAGAAGUGCGAAUGCUGACAUAAGUAACGAUAAAGCGGGUGAAAAGCCCGCUCGCCGGAAGACCAAGGGUUCCUGUCCAACGUUAAUCGGGGCAGGGUGAGUCGACCCCUAAGGCGAGGCCGAAAGGCGUAGUCGAUGGGAAACAGGUUAAUAUUCCUGUACUUGGUGUUACUGCGAAGGGGGGACGGAGAAGGCUAUGUUGGCCGGGCGACGGUUGUCCCGGUUUAAGCGUGUAGGCUGGUUUUCCAGGCAAAUCCGGAAAAUCAAGGCUGAGGCGUGAUGACGAGGCACUACGGUGCUGAAGCAACAAAUGCCCUGCUUCCAGGAAAAGCCUCUAAGCAUCAGGUAACAUCAAAUCGUACCCCAAACCGACACAGGUGGUCAGGUAGAGAAUACCAAGGCGCUUGAGAGAACUCGGGUGAAGGAACUAGGCAAAAUGGUGCCGUAACUUCGGGAGAAGG
rnacentral:rRNA from 1 species